GCGGCGUGCUUACACAUGCAAGUCGAACGAGAAAGCUCCUUCGGGAGUGAGUACAGUGGCGAACGGGUGCGUAACACGUUGGUGACCUGCCUUGAGGAGGGGGACAACCGUGGGAAACCACGGCUAAUACCCCGGAUGUCCAAACUGUUAGAGGGUUUAGACUAAAACUUCGGUGCCUCAAGAGGGGCCUGCGGGCUAUCAGCUUGUUGGUGGGGUAAUGGCCUACCAAGGCUAAGACGGCUAGGGGGCGUGAGAGCGCAACCCCCCACAAUGGAACUGAGACACGGUCCAUACUCCUACGGGAGGCAGCAGUGAGGAAUAUUGCGCAAUGGGGGAAACCCUGACGCAGCAACGCCGCGUGAACGAUGAAGGCCUUCGGGUCGUAAAGUUCUUUUCUAAGGGAAGAUAGUGACGGUACCUUAGGAAUAAGUCCCGGCUAACUACGUGCCAGCAGCCGCGGUAAAACGUAGGGGGCGAGCGUUAUCCGGAUUUAUUGGGCGUAAAGCGCACGUAGGUGGCGCUGUAAGUUAGACGUGAAAGCUCUCGGCUCAACUGAGAGAGGUCGUUUAAAACUGCAGUGCUUGAGGUUAGAAGAGGAGAGCAGAAUUCCCGGUGUAGUGGUGGAAUGCGUAGAUAUCGGGAGGAAUACCAGUGGCGAAGGCGGCUCUCUAGUCUACACCUGACACUGAGGUGCGAAAGCGUGGGUAGCGAACGGGAUUAGAUACCCCGGUAGUCCACGCUGUAAACGAUGGAUACUAGGUGUAGGGGGUCAUUUAACCCCUCUGUGCCGAAGCAAACGCGUUAAGUAUCCCGCCUGGGGACUACGGCCGCAAGGUUAAAACUCAAAGGAAUUGACGGGGGCCCGCACAAGCAGCGGAGCGUGUGGUUUAAUUCGAUGAUACGCGAAGAACCUUACCUGGGCUGAACUACGUGGUAGUAGUGAAGCGAAAGCGGAUCGACCCUUCGGGGAGCCUCGAUAGGUGCUGCAUGGCUGUCGUCGGCUCGUGUCGUGAGAUGUUGGGUUAAGUCCCGCAACGAGCGCAACCCUCGCCGCUAGUUACAAGUGUCUAGCGAGACUGCCGGUAUCAAACCGGAGGAAGGUGGGGAUGACGUCAAGUCAGCAUGGUCUUUAUGUCCAGGGCUACACACACGCUACAAUGGUCGGGCCAUUAGUUUGCACACCGCGAGGUGGAGCUAAUCCUCAAAGCCGAUCUCAGUUCGGAUUGUAGUCUGCAACUCGACUACAUGAAGGCGGAGUUGCUAGUAACCGCGCGUCAGCAUAGUGCGGUGAAUGCGUUCCCGGGCCUUGACACACCGCCCGUCACAUCAUGGGAGUCGGUAACACCUGAAGUCGGUGACCUAACCGAAAGGGGGGAGCUGCCUAAGGUGGGAUCG
rnacentral:rRNA from 1 species